GCCUACGCCGGCAACAAUGGCGACGUACGGCACGAUUCCGACGUCAUCCGGCGCCGGAGACUCGAAGGUCGAAUUCCUAUCUCGCGCUAAAGAACGCAUACAAACAGGACUCGGCACGACACGGCCAUGGAAACAGAUGCUCGAUAUUCAUUCAAUCGGUAUCCCUCACGGCUUCUCCGAUGCAAUUUCACGAAUCAAAACAAACUUCGGAUACUUUCGUAUGAAUUACGCUUUAAUCGUGCUCUCUAUUUUGUUCCUGAGCUUGUUGUGGCAUCCGAUCUCGUUGAUCGUGUUCAUAGUGACGAUGGCCGGCUGGUUGUUCUUCUACUUCCUCCGUGACGAACCUCUUGUGAUUUUUCACCGUACGAUCGAUGAUCGUGUGAUCCUGGCGAUUUUGUCAGUUGUUACUUUCGUUUUGCUGCUGUUAACCGGCGCUACGAUGAACAUAUUGUUGGCAGUUUUGAUCGGACUUGUGGUUGUGGUGAUUCACGCAGCUUUCAGGAAGACGGAUGAUUUGUUCUUAGACGAAGAUGGCGUUGAUGCGGUUUCUUCGCCAUAGAAGUUCACUCAGUAAAGGAUGAAGUGAUUUUGGUCAUGGAUUUGAUCAGAUACGUUUUAUUAGUCACGGUUGCUGAAUGAAUCAAAAAACGUCCCCUGACAUCAUGUCUUUGGAGGCUGAUUCCGUGUUGAAAGGAUUGGUAUCGUUGGAGAAUGUGAACCUAAUCUCGAAGUGUGACCACUACUUGGAUCCAUGCAUUUGUGGAGACAAUAAUUAUAUUAUAUAUUUUUAUAUAUAUUUUUCAAUGGCGAUAAGGUGGAUGGUAGGUAUUUAAUGGAACC